rnacentral:misc_RNA from 1 species
UUUCCGUAGGUGAACCUGCGGAAGGAUCAUUACCGAGUGAGGGUCUUCCAGGCCAGACCUCCCCACCUGUGUUUUUGUGACCUUGUUGCUUUGGCGCGUCCGCCUCGAUGAGCGGCCGCCGGAAGCUCACCGCUUUGGGCCCGUCCCCGCCAGUAGCGCCCUUAAAUUCUCAAUAAACCUGUCGUCUUAGUCUAGACUUAAUAAAAAAAACUUUCUACAACAAAACUCUUGGUUCUGGCUUCGAUGAAGAACGCAGCAAAUCGGAAGAGACCACGUCGG